CAAAUGAACGUCAAUUUCUUAAAGAUUUCAUUAGUGGUGCACCGGGUUCAUCUGGCGCUCGUUUGGCUGCUUGGCUACAACCGGAAUCACGCCUCGAUCCGAAUAAAUGCGAAUUGAACACAAUAACCGAACCUUUGCGUUACGGCUGGCCAACUCAGAUUACUGUGACUAUACGCGAUCAAUAUGGUGAUGCUGUGCUGGUGCCCGAAUUGAAGGUGGAAAUCAAAGCAAUACCGACGGGCGCUUCUGGCAACGGCAACAUCAAAAU